ensembl:miRNA MIR3130-1 microRNA 3130-1
CUUGUCAUGUCUUACCCAGUCUCCGGUGCAGCCUGUUGUCAAGGCUGCACCGGAGACUGGGUAAGACAUGACAAG